AGAGUUUGAUCAUGGCUCAGAUUGAACGCUGGCGGCAUGCCUUACACAUGCAAGUCGAACGGUAACAGGUCUUUCGGGAUGCUGACGAGUGGCGAACGGGUGAGUAAUACAUCGGAACGUGCCUAGUAGUGGGGGAUAACUACUCGAAAGAGUGGCUAAUACCGCAUGAGAUCUAUGGAUGAAAGCAGGGGACCUUCGGGCCUUGUGCUACUAGAGCGGCCGAUGGCAGAUUAGGUAGUUGGUGGGAUAAAAGCUUACCAAGCCUACGAUCUGUAGCUGGUCUGAGAGGACGAUCAGCCACACUGGGACUGAGACACGGCCCAGACUCCUACGGGAGGCAGCAGUGGGGAAUUUUGGACAAUGGGCGCAAGCCUGAUCCAGCAAUGGCCGCGUGCAGGAUGAAGGCCUUCGGGUUGUAAACUGCUUUUGUACGGAACGAAAAGUCUUGGGUUAAUACCCUGGGAUCAUGACGGUACCGUAAGAAUAAGCACCGGCUAACUACGUGCCAGCAGCCGCGGUAAUACGUAGGGUGCAAGCGUUAAUCGGAAUUACUGGGCGUAAAGCGUGCGCAGGCGGUUUUGUAAGACAGUGGUGAAAUCCCCGGGCUCAACCUGGGAACUGCCAUUGUGACUGCAAGGCUGGAGUGCGGCAGAGGGGGAUGGAAUUCCGCGUGUAGCAGUGAAAUGCGUAGAUAUGCGGAGGAACACCGAUGGCG
rnacentral:rRNA from 1 species